CUGGCGGCGUUGCUUAACACAUGCAAGUUCGAACGGAAGCGAAAUGAAAGCUUGCCUUUUAUGAAGCUUAGUGGCAAACGGGUGAGUAACACGUAGACAACCUGCCGAUAGGAUGGGGAACAACAUUUCCGAAAGGAAUGCUAAUACCGAAUGAAGUGUAGGGAAGGCAUCUUCCCUUCAUGAAAGAUGGCCUCUAUAUAUAAGCUAUCACCUAUCGAUGGGUCUGCGUCUGAUUAGCUAGUAGGUAAGGUAACGGCUUACCUAGGCGACGAUCAGUAGCCGGUCUGAGAGGAUGAACGGCCACAUUGGGACUGAGACACGGCCCAGACUCCUACGGGAGGCAGCAGUGGGGAAUCUUCCGCAAUGGGCGCAAGCCUGACGGAGCAACGCCGCGUGAGUGAAGAAGGUCUUCGGAUCGUAAAGCUCUGUUGAAGGGGACGAACGUGUAUAGUGCAAAUAGUGCUAUAUAAUGACGGUACCUUUUGAGGAAGCCACGGCUAACUACGUGCCAGCAGCCGCGGUAAUACGUAGGUGGCGAGCGUUGUCCGGAAUCAUUGGGCGUAAAGGGAGCGCAGGCGGCCAUGUAAGUCUUGCUUAAAAGUUCGGGGCUCAACCCCGUGAUGGGCAAGAAACUAUAUGGCUUGAGUGCAGGAGAGGAAAGCGGAAUUCCCAGUGUAGCGGUGAAAUGCGUAGAUAUUGGGAGGAACACCAGUGGCGAAGGCGGCUUUCCGGACUGCAACUGACGCUGAGGCUCGAAAGCCAGGGGAGCGAACGGGAUUAGAUACCCCGGUAGUCCUGGCCGUAAACGAUGGAUACUAGGUGUGGGAGGUAUCGACCCCUACCGUGCCGGAGUUAAGCAAAUAAGUAUCCCGCCUGGGGGAGUACGGUCGCCAGACUGAAAACUCAAGGAAUUGACGGGGACCUGCACAACCGUGGGAUUUUGUUGUUUAAUUCUUAACCACCCGAGAAUCUUACCAAAGUCUUGACAUGGAUUGACAGGGAUAAGAUAUCCCAUUCUCUU
rnacentral:rRNA from 1 species